GAGCACGUAGGUGGGUUUGUAAGUCAGAUGUGAAAGCCUUCUGUUCAAAGGAAGAACGGCAUCUGAAACUGCAGAUCUUGAGUGUAGGAGGGGAGAGUGGAACUUCUGGUGGAGCGGUGAAAUGCGUAGAUAUCAGAAGGAACGUCGGCGGCGAAAGCGACUCUCUGGCCUAUUACUGACACUGAGUGUGCGGAAGUUAGGGGAGCAAACGGGAUUAGAUACCCCGGUAGUCCUAACUGUAAACGAUGGGCACUAAGUAGAGGG
rnacentral:rRNA from 1 species